AUUGAACGCUGGCGGCAUGCUUUACACAUGCAAGUCGAACGGUAACAGGCCUUCGGGUGCUGACGAGUGGCGAACGGGUGAGUAAUGCAUCGGAACGUGCCCAGAGGUGGGGGAUAACGCAGCGAAAGCUGUGCUAAUACCGCAUGUGAUCUGAGGAUGAAAGCGGGGGACCAGGCAGCAAUGUUUGGCCUCGCGCCUUUGGAGCGGCCGAUGUCAGAUUAGGUAGUUGGUGGGGUAAAGGCCUACCAAGCCGACGAUCUGUAGCUGGUCUGAGAGGACGAACAGCCACACUGGGACUGAGACACGGCCCAGACUCCUACGGGAGGCAGCAGUGGGGAAUUUUGGACAAUGGGCGCAAGCCUGAUCCAGCAAUGCCGCGUGCGGGAAGAAGGCCUUCGGGUUGUAAACCGCUUUUGUACGGAACGAAAAGGCUCUGGCUAAUACCUGGGGCUGAUGACGGUACCGGAAGAAUAAGCACCGGCUAACUACGUG
rnacentral:rRNA from 1 species